rnacentral:rRNA from 1 species
UACGGUAGGGUCCGAGCGUUGUCCGGAAUUAUUGGGGCGUAAAGGGCUCGUAGGCGGUUUGUCGCGUCGGGAGUGAAAACUACAGGGCUCAACCCUGAGCGUGCUUCCGAUACGGGCAGACUAGAGGUAUGCAGGGGGAGAACGGAAUUCCUGGUGUAGCGGUGGAAUGCGCAGAUAUCAGGAGGAACACCGGUGGCGAAGGCGGGUCUCUGGGCAGUAACUGACGCUGGAGGAGCGAAAGCGUGGGGAGCGAACAGG